AUGGACCCGGGACUCCAGAUUCUGGUGCCUCCCCCCUGCACCACAGAGGACUUGUCUUCACCCCUUCAUCAGAGGCCUGGAAGGGUGCUGCCUUCUGAAGAAGGAAAUGACAAAGAAGGAGAAGCUAGACCAUCUGGGGCCGUGGGAAGGUCUGGCAGAGAGAAAGUACUUGACAGCGAAAGUACUUGGGAGGCCUGACUUCAUCUCCUCGUAUCCAGGGACUGACUGAAACAACACAGACAAGGGCCAUUUAUGGAAGUGAGUAUAACAUUGCAAGAAUGUGCUUUUGGGAAUUUUGACCAAAAAAAAUCUGCAUUUUGAAGGGGAUAGGGGAUUUUUGUUAGGACACAGAGUCUCUCUUUGUUCCCCCGCUUCUUUGCCCACCUGCACACCAGAUGCUCCUCUUGCCAAUACAAGGGGAAACUGGCAUUUCCUCAAAUAGUGCCCCAACAUCCACAUUUUUAUGUUCAAAGCUUACCUGUCCCCCUUAAGGCUCUGUUCUUCUAAUGUGCAGGCCAGCACCCUAUUCUCCUACUCAGGUGACAAUGUAACUGGAGCAUUCUAGAAGCAACACCUCCAACUUCAUCUUCUAGGUCAAAGAAGUGAUUCUCAAUAUGGACUUCCAGGCUAUUGGGAGGAAAGGAUGGGCCACUGGGGAGGAUAGUUUGUCACCUCCAAGACAUUAUGGUGUUGGCAGUUGUCUACUUUGAAGACAGGCCCUGAGACCUGACUCCCAAAGUCCAACCUGCCAUUUGGUUAGUUGUGGGACCUUGGAGGUUUGUUCCAUCUUCUGCAAAAUGGGGAUAAGCUGGACCUUCCUUACAGGGUUGGUGUGUUAAAUGAUAAUAACUGGACCUUUCUCAUAAGGUUAGGGUGAGCAUCAAGUGGGUUUAUGGGUGUGCAAGUGCUUAGAAAAAUACCAGUGCACAUUGAGCUUCAGAAAUGAAGGCGAUGAUGAUUCCGUGGAACUCACAAAGAGCCAACAAUUCUCACCAUUGGCUUUGCCUCUGCAGAAGUCACUUCCUUGGUUUCCCUAUCUCCAGCAGUGCCUCCAAACUGUUUUGGGCAUGGAAUUCAAAUUCCAUCACUUUCCUAAAACAUCCUGUGGCUUUUUGUUGACUAGAGAAUGAAUUCCCAUGAAUUCAUGAAUCCAUGAAGGCCCUUUCUAAUCUGUCUUCAGCUCUGCAUUAUAGGAAAA
rnacentral:lncRNA from 1 species